GACGAACGCUGGCGGCGUGCUUAACACAUGCAAGUCGAACGGAAAGGCCUGCUUUCCCUUGUGGAUUGCGGGUACUCGAGUGGCGAACGGGUGAGUAACACGUGAGUGAUCUGCCCCCAACUUGGGUAUAAGCCUGGGAAACUGGGUCUAAUUCCCGAUAGGACUGCAGGGUGGUGCCUGUGGUGGAAAACGAUGUUCUAGUGGUUGGGGAUGAGCUCGCGGCCUAUCAGCUUGUUGGUGGGGUAAUGGCCUACCAAGGCGGCGACGGGUAGCCGGCCUGAGAGGGUGGACAGCCACAUUGGGACUGGGAUACGGCCCAGACUCCUACGGGAGGCAGGAGUGGGGAAUAGUGCACAAUGGGCGGAAGCCUGAUGCAGCGAGGCCGCGUGGGGGAUGACGGCCUUCGGGUUGUAAACUCCUUUCGACCGCGAGGAAGCCACCUGGUUGGAAGGGUGGUGACGGUAGUGGUAGAAGAAGCACCGGCUAACUACGUG
rnacentral:rRNA from 1 species